UGGGGAAUAUUGCACAAUGGGCGCAAGCCUGAUGCAGCCAUGCCGCGUGUGUGAAGAAGGCCUUCGGGUUGUAAAGCACUUUCAGCGGGGAGGAAGGCGAUAAGGUUAAUAACCUUGUCGAUUGACGUUACCCGCAGAAGAAGCACCGGCUAACUCCGUGCCAGCAGCCGCGGUAAUACGGAGGGUGCAAGCGUUAAUCGGAAUCACUGGGCGUAAAGCGCACGCAGGCGGUCUGUCAAGUCGGAUGUGAAAUCCCCGGGCUCAACCUGGGAACUGCAUUCGAAACGGGCAGGCUAGAGUCUUGUAGAGGGGGGUAGAAUUCCAGGUGUAGCGGUGAAAUGCGUAGAGAUCAGGAGGAAUACCGGUGGCGAAGGCGGCCCCCUGGACAAAGACUGACGCUCAGGUGCGAAAGCGUGGGGAGCAAACAGG
rnacentral:rRNA from 1 species